AUUGAACGCUGGCGGCAGGCCUAACACAUGCAAGUCGAGCGAGCGGCGGACGGGUGAGUAAUGUCUGGGAAACUGCCUGAUGGAGGGGGAUAACUACUGGAAACGGUAGCUAAUACCGCAUACCAUCAGAUGUGCCCAGAUGGGAUUAGCUAGUGGGUGGGGUAACGGCUCACCUAGGCGACGCUCCCUAGCUGGUCUGAGAGGAUGACCAGCCAAACGGGAACGGAGACACGGUCCAGACUCCUACGGGAGGAAGCGGUGGGGAAUAGUGCACAAUGGGCGCAAGCCUGAUGCAGCCAUGCCGGGUGUGUGAAGAGGGCCUUCGGGUUGUAAAGCACUUUCAGCGGGGAGGCGUUACCCGCAGAAGAAGCACCGGCUAACUCCGUGCCAGCAGCCGCGGUAAUAC
rnacentral:rRNA from 1 species